GCAAAUAUUUGUUAAGAUUGAUAUAGAGAAGGCUUUGAUAUAUGGAAAUUAAGGGUAGCUAGAUUAAUGCCUCUUUAAAAUUGUUGAGUGCUUGGGUAAGAUCUUAUUACCAUCAAAAGCAAGCAUAAGCAUCACAAGCAAAUUUAGCUUAAUAUUUUUUCAUGACCAGCAAAUUCACCAGUGUGGAAGAUUGAGGAUAUUGAAGUUAUAAGAGAUAAGAAAGUGACUAUUAGGCUUUGGAUGACAUUAGGGGAAGUAAUGAGAAAGGUUUUAGCAGUUUGCAGAUGUAGCUCUAAACUAAAUGGAAUGGGGGGAAUAGAUCCACAUAUAGCCA
rnacentral:misc_RNA from 1 species